ACUCUAACUUUAGCAUCUUUCU
rnacentral:miRNA from 8 species